rnacentral:rRNA from 1 species
GACGAACGCUGGCGGCGUGCUUAACACAUGCAAGUCGAACGGAAAGGCCCUGCUUGCAGGGUACUCGAGUGGCGAACGGGUGAGUAACACGUGGGUGAUCUGCCCUGCACUUCGGGAUAAGCCUGGGAAACUGGGUCUAAUACCGGAUAGUAGCCAUUUUUAGUGUGAUGGUUGGAAAGUUUUUUCGGUGUAGGAUGAGCUCGCGGCCUAUCAGCUUGUUGGUGGGGUAAUGGCCUACCAAGGCGGCGACGGGUAGCCGGCCUGAGAGGGUGGACGGCCACAUUGGGACUGAGAUACGGCCCAGACUCCUACGGGAGGCAGCAGUGGGGAAGAUUGCACAAUGGGCGCAAGCCUGAUGCAGCGACGCCGCGUGGGGGAUGACGGCCUUCGGGUUGUAAACUCCUUUCGCUAGGGACGAAGCUUUUUGUGACGGUACCUAGAUAAGAAGCACCGGCUAACUACGUG